rnacentral:rRNA from 1 species
CCUACGGGGGGCUGCAGUGGGGAAUAUUGGACAAUGGGCGAAAGCCUGAUCCAGCCAUGCCGCGUGUGUGAAGAAGGCCUUCGGGUUGUAAAGCACUUUCAGUGGGGAAGAAAGCCUUGGGGCUAAUACCCUCGAGGAAGGACAUCACCCACAGAAGAAGCACCGGCUAACUCCGUGCCAGCAGCCGCGGUAAUACGGAGGGUGCGAGCGUUAAUCGGAAUUACUGGGCGUAAAGCGCGUGUAGGCGGUCUGAUAAGCCGGUUGUGAAAGCCCCGGGCUCAACCUGGGAACGGCAUCCGGAACUGUCAGGCUAGAGUGCAGGAGAGGAAGGUAGAAUUCCCGGUGUAGCGGUGAAAUGCGUAGAGAUCGGGAGGAAUACCAGUGGCGAAGGCGGCCUUCUGGACUGACACUGACGCUGAGGUGCGAAAGCGUGGGUAGCAAACAGGAUUAGAUACCCGGGUAGUC